UCAAUGUGUAUAUCUGACUUUCCAUAGCUGAGUCUAAAACAGCAAAAGCAUCCCAAGUUUUGGUAAGCAGUUCUCUCCUUUUCACCCUGGACCCUUAACCCUCCUCGCCCUGCACUGCCUGGCUGGUCUGGGAGGGGACUUUAACCCCCACCACCACUCUUCCCCAUCCAACUCCCUGCCGGGACAAUGUGCAUAUCACAGUCAGUUCCAAAACAAACAUGCAAAACCACCCCGUUUCAGCCCUCAGCCUCAGGGCUGAGAUUCAGGCUCAGGUCUAGGGGUUGGGGAAUAUUAAAGUUUACAAGUACAAUCUUACUCCAUCCAUACACACACAUGGAGAAGCCGGGAGAGAACGCGGCCAGAGAUGGGCUCCUGCCCUUGAACCCCUGCUGGGGUGGAAGCAGGUGCACAAUGCUUCUUUGAGUAUCUCCGUGUCUGUGGCUGAUAUCCAGAUGCAAGGCUUCUUCUGGGCAUCCCUGGGAAUGGGAGUGCAUAGACAUACUGGUCAAAUUACAGCACAGCCUCUACACCUUUACUGAAGAUGGAAAACUGUUUUCCAAAGUUGACUUGCCUAACAUGAUGUAACUAUCAUGCAAAAAUAAAAAUAAAAUUAAGAAUAAAAAUUUAAAAAUGAAA